UACGUAGGGUGCAAGCGUUAAUCGGAAUUACUGGGCGUAAAGCGUGCGCAGGCGGCUAUGCAAGACAGAUGUGAAAUCCCCGGGCUCAACCUGGGAACUGCAUUUGUGACUGCAUGGCUAGAGUACGGCAGAGGGGGAUGGAAUUCCGCGUGUAGCAGUGAAAUGCGUAGAUAUGCGGAGGAACACCGAUGGCGAAGGCAAUCCCCUGGGCCUGUACUGACGCUCAUGCACGAAAGCGUGGGGAG
rnacentral:rRNA from 1 species